GAUUAUGGCUCAGGAUGAACGCUAGCGGCAGGCUUAACACAUGCAAGUCGAGGGGCAGCGUGGAGUAGCAAUACUCUGACGGCGACCGGCGAAAGGGUGAGUAACGCGUGAGCAACAUGCCCGUAGUUGGGGGAUAGUCGAUGGAAACGUCGCGUAAUACCCCGUAACAACAGAGGCCGCAUGACCUUUGUUUAAGAGAUUUAUUGUCUACGGAUUGGCUCGCGUACCAUUAGCUAGUUGGCGGGGUAACGGCCCACCAAGGCGACGAUGGUUAGGGGUUCUGAGAGGAAGGUCCCCCCACAUUGGAACUGAGACACGGUCCAGACUCCUACGGGAGGCAGCAGUGAGGAAUAUUGGUCAAUGGCCGAGAGGCUGAACCAGCCAUGCCGCGUGCGGGAUGACGGCCCUAUGGGUUGUAAACCGCUUUUGUUGGGGAGCAAUAAGGUUCACGUGUGGACUGAUGAGAGUACCCAGCGAAUAAGCAUCGGCUAACUCCGUGCCAGCAGCAGC
rnacentral:rRNA from 1 species